GUCUGCAACCCGACUACAUGAAGCUGGAAUCGCUAGUAAUCGCGAAUCAGAAUGUCGCGGUGAAUACGUUCCCGGGUCUUGUACACACCGCCCGUCACACCAUGGGAGUCGGAAAUGCCCGAAGUCAGUGACCCAACCGCAAGGAGGGAGCUGCCGAAGGUGGAGCCGGUAACUGGGGUGAAGUCGUAACAAGGUAAC
rnacentral:rRNA from 1 species